UACGUAGGUGGCAAGCGUUGUCCGGAUUUACUGGGCGUAAAGAGCGUGUAGGCGGUCCGGUAAGUCCGCUGUGAAAGUCGGGGGGCUCAACCCUCGAAUGCCGGUGGAUACUGUCGGGCUAGAGUGCGGAAGAGGCGAGUGGAAUUCCUGGUGUAGCGGUGAAAUGCGCAGAUAUCAGGAGGAACACCUAUUGCGAAGGCAGCUCGCUGGGACGUAACUGACGCUGAGACGCGAAAGCGUGGGGAGCAAACAGG
rnacentral:rRNA from 1 species